rnacentral:rRNA from 1 species
UACGUAGGGACCAAGCGUUGUUCGGAUUUACUGGGCGUAAAGGGCGCGUAGGCGGCGUGGUAAGUCACUUGUGAAAUCUCUGAGCUUAACUCAGAACUGCCAAGUGAUACUGCUGUGCUCGAGUGUGGAAGGGGCAAUCGGAAUUCUUGGUGUAGCGGUGAAAUGCGUAGAUAUCAGGAGGAACGCCAAUGGCGAAGGCAAGUCUCCUGGACAGUUCCUGACGCUCAUGCACGAAGGCCAGGGGAGCAAACGGG